AAUCUAAAACUUUAAUUCAUAGUUCACACAUUAAAGUCUCCCGACAAAAUCCAAAAGGAAUUUCCUCACAGAUCGACGGGGUUAACAUCCACACACUAUGGCCUGACACAUGUAAGAGGUCAGUUCCUCAGAAUGUUCAGAUUGAAUUCCGACAUAACCCAGAGGGAUCUCCUCGUGGAUCAAAGGUUCUAACAUUCACAGCCUAUAGCCUGACACAUUUAAGAGGUUUGCUCCUCAGAAUGAUCAGUUUGAAUUCCGACAGAACCCAGAGGGAUCUCCUCGUGGAUCGAAGGUUCUAACAUUCACAGCCUAUAGCCUGACACAUUUAAGAGGUUUUGCUCCUCAGAAUGAUCAGUUAGAAAUCCUAAGUUU